UUAGCUACUAGACUUGAUUUGGAUAAACAUAACUAGCAUUAAAUUUCAACUAAAAGCCUACAGAUUGCUAUCAAAUGUAGGUUUUACAGAGAGGGGCUCAAUGGUCGAUGUCAUAUUGCUGCAUUUGCCAUUAGCAUAAUCCAAAGGCAUUUCUUGAAACCUUUUCCAUUUCUUCACUACAGGGGUUUUUCUAUGAUGAGAGGUGCCCAAUCUAAAGUCUGCAUCGAUUUGGCGCAUUUCUUGAAACCUUUUCCAUUUCUUCACUACAGGGGUUUUUCUACGGGGAGAGGUGCCCAAUCUAAAGCCUGCAUCGAUUCGGCUAUGCCCUCACAUUGCCAGGGAUUGUUUUUACAAUGAAGAUAAGGAACAUGGCAUUAAAGUGGUUGUUCCAGGAUUGUCUGACUGUGGUCAGUUGUGGUCUAAGGGGGCAGGGAGCUGCCUAUAGAGUUGUAGGAGAGCUGAGGAGAAGGAUGAGGCAAGA